CCUACGGGAGGCAGCAGUGAGGAAUAUUGGUCAAUGGACGAGAGUCUGAACCAGCCAAGUCGCGUGAAGGAUGACUGCCCUAUGGGUUGUAAACUUCUUUUAUCUGGGAAUAAAAUGUUCCACGUGUGGGAUUUUGUAUGUACCAUAUGAAUAAGGAUCGGCUAACUCCGUGCCAGCAGCCGCGGUAAUACGGAGGAUCCGAGCGUUAUCCGGAUUUAUUGGGUUUAAAGGGUGCGUAGGUGGAUUGUUAAGUCAGUUGGGAAAGUUUGCGGCUCAACCGUAAAAUUGCAGUUGAAACUGGCAGUCUUGAGUGCGGUAGAGGUAGGCGGAAUUCGUGGUGUAGCGGUGAAAUGCUUAGAUAUCACGAAGAACUCCGAUUGCGAAGGCAGUUCACUGGACUGCAACUGACACUGAGGCACGAAAGUGUGGGUAUCAAACAGGAUUAGAUACCCUAGUAGUC
rnacentral:rRNA from 1 species